CAAACAUUGGCCCUUCCGCCUUGAGCUCCUUUCUCCCUCUUCACCAAAUUCUAGACGCAUCCAAGUAUUGUUGGGGAAGGUGCCACUGGACUCAAAUCCUGCUGUUCUACUGCAUACCAACACAGCUACCUACCUGAAACUAUCAUAAGAAACAAGGAUCUGUCUCACAAAUAGGAAGUGCGGGGAGACAAGAAAGCAUACCAGUCAACCCAGAAGAAGACCUGGACAGUGCCAUCUUGAACACCCAUCUAAGUACAUGGAAGUAAAUAGGCUUCAAAGGAAAUAAGUCUGCCUAUGAACCUCCAUAGGGUUCAUCUUCUUCUCAAAAUCAGGAUGGCACCUUCAGAAGGCUUUGCUCAAAAGAGCACAGCUGUCACAGUGAACACAGGAGGAGUGAGAGUCCUGCAGAUACAAAGCCAAGUAGAGAGCACAACCACGAUCUAGCCUUGAGGGAACCAUUAACAUGGUUCUAGGUGACCAGAACAGCC